UACGGGGGGGGCAAGCGUUGUUCGGAAUUACUGGGCGUAAAGGGCUCGUAGGUGGCCAACUAAGUCAGACGUGAAAUCCCUGGGCUCAACCCAGGAACUGCAUCCGAAACUAGCUGUCUCGAGUGACGGAGAGGAUAGUGGAAUUCCCGGUGUAGAGGUGAAAUUCGUAGAUAUCGGGAGGAACACCAGUGGCGAAGGCGGCUAUCUGGACGUCCACUGACGCUGAGGCGCGAAAGCGUGGGGAGCAAACAGG
rnacentral:rRNA from 1 species